CCUUUCAGGUAACCCAAUUCAUCCAUGGCUGCUGGACAGCUACAGGUGGCACUUGAGUGAGGGGUCUGAAAAUGGGGGCAUCUACUGAGAAACACUUUCUUGGGAGGAGCUCCACAGAAAGUGGAAAAAGUUACAGUAUCCUGCAUGAUUGGUUACCUUCACACAGGAUUGCUUUCAGCAAGCUCAGCUAUUCACCAUGACAGUUACUCACCUAUAUGAAGAAACCCAUUGAAUGCAUUCAUAUUCAUAUGUGGCUUUGGUCUGAAUGGGAAAGAAUUUGAAGACCAGUAGCCAGAGAUGGGACUGUGUAGCAGGUCUGAGAAAGUCUCUACAUUUUACAAAAUCCACCUACACUGAGUUAUAAUGAGCUAUGUGAGUAAAUAUGUGAGGUAAUGCAAGUAAAUGGAACU